GUGGAAACCGUUUCGUGAAAUUCUGAUGAUUGUGCAGAUCAAAGAACAACAUAAAUUGAGGUCUACUGUAAACUCAGUGACUCAAGAUAGCUCACAAUAUGGUACACCAAUUUCUACAUGUCAGGGAGCCAUGUGGAAGAUGAAGCAGAGAGAAUGUAAGAUCCAGAAGUGAUGGACACCCGGAACCAGGAGAACAAGAUCUUCAGGAGAAUAGCAUGAGCAAAGUGCACAUGAACUCACAGAGACCGGAGCAUCCUGUG
rnacentral:lncRNA from 1 species